GUGGAUCUAAGGCAUGUGCUAUUCAUUUCAAUGAAUCACACUUUUCCCGUUAGUUAGAAUUUGAUUGAUCCAUGCAAUCCAUUUAGGAGGGAAGGCCAACGGACAGAAUCAAAGGCCUAACUAACUGAAGCAUAAAACAUAAUUCGAUUACAAGGGAAGGAGCUCUAGUCCUACCACAAACAUGGGGAAUAUCUUUGGUACACCGGAAGUUUUCGGAGAUUGAGUGGCCCGAGAGAAACUCGGUUUGGUCGGUGUGCUCUAAUAAAGGAACACGCGGUUUGAUUCGUUUUGUUACAAGCUUGGCUAAUCCAGUCCGGUGUGUUAUACUUGUGUGUUAUGUGAGCAAGAAAAUCAACUAGCUAGAUCCUGUAACUGGACCACUCGAUCAACGUUACCUUGUACGUGCUGCUUCACUCGACCAAAACUUAUACUUGUUGCUUCACUCUCAAGUUUCUUACCAUC
rnacentral:lncRNA from 1 species